CCUGACGGGACAAGUAGUGAUACAUCGAGAAGGUUUUCGCAACAUCAUACAUUAGUCGUGUUUGCCGUGAUCCGAGUGUACGUAAUUUUUAUUCGAUUUUAUUUAUUUACAUUUAAAAUGCCGAAAAUCAGUACAACUACGUCUAUAGGCCUACAAAACAAGAGCAUAUUAUAAGGAGUAUAUUUCCAAAGUUCUCGAGGCAUAUAAAUUCAGGCCCUAACAACACUGUACCUGCGCACGGCAGGAUCGAUUAUUACCGGCUGAACGGGAACGGGCGCGAAAUAUUUUUGAAAAAAGUCUUAAAAUGAAACUCGAGGACCGCUGUUACGUUUACAAUACUUACGUUCGUUUUCGACAACAUUGUUUUCGUUUGUUUCGUUUUUGAAAACGAAACUCGUUUAACGACCAAAAGCCGAGAACGAUAUUAACUUAAACUUAAAGAUUUGUUGCAUCAUAUUCCAACUGCUUAUUAAACGAAUGUCAGCCGAAUACUGUUUUCCGUCGAAAUACGAGCGCUUGGUAACGGUAAGCCAUUGGAAGGUUGCAGAAAAAGAAGAAAAAGUACUGAUCCGGACUGAAUGACUCAU